AGGGCACCACCAGGAGUGGAGCCUGCGGCUUAAUUUGACUCAACACGGGAAAACUCACCCGGCCCGGACACUGUAAGGAUUGACAGACUGAGAGCUCUUUCUUAAUUCGGUGGGUGGUGGUGCGUGGCCGUUCUUAGUUGGUGGAGCGAUUUGUCUGGUUAAUUCCGAUAACGAACGAGGCUCUGGCCUAUUAAAUAGACGGUAUAUUUAAAAGUAUAUCGCACUUCUUAGAGGGACAAGCGGCUUCUAGCCGCAUGAAAUAGAGCAAUAACAGGUCUGUGAUGCCCUUAGAUGUCCGGGGCUGCACGCGCGCUACACUGAAAGAAUCAGUGUGUGUUGUGCCUAGUUCGGAAGAACCGGGGUAACCCAAGUAAAUUCUUUCGUGCUUGGGAUAGGGAAUUGAAAUUAUUUUCCCUUAAACGAGGAAUUCCCAGUAAAUGCGGGGUCAUAAGCUCGCGUUGAUUACGUCCCUGCCCUUUUGUACAAACGGCCGUCGCUACUUACCGAUUGGAUGACUUA
rnacentral:rRNA from 1 species